AGUGAACGCUGGCGGUAGGCCUAACACAUGCAAGUCGAACGGCAGCACAGUAAGAGCUUGCUCUUACGGGUGGCGAGUGGCGGACGGGUGAGGAAUACAUCGGAAUCUACUUUUUCUUGGGGGAUAACGUAGGGAAACUUACGCUAAUACCGCAUACGACCUACGGGUGAAAGCAGUGGAUCUUCGGACCUUGCGCGAUUGAAUGAGCCGAUGUCGGAUUAGCUAGUUGGCGGGGUAAAGGCCCACCAAGGCGACGAUCCGUAGCUGGUCUGAGAGGAUGAUCAGCCACACUGGAACUGAGACACGGUCCAGACUCCUACGGGAGGCAGCAGUGGGGAAUAUUGGACAAUGGGCGCAAGCCUGAUCCAGCCAUACCGCGUGGGUGAAGAAGGCCUUCGGGUUGUAAAGCCCUUUUGUUGGGAAAGAAAAGCAGCAGGUUAAUACCCCGCUGUUCUGACGGUACCCAAAGAAUAAGCACCGGCUAACUUCGUG
rnacentral:rRNA from 1 species